GCAUCGAGCGCGAGACAGAUCUAAAUUGAGACACAUUUAAUUAAUGAAUAAGUUAUAAUUAGAAUAUUUUAAUAAUUAAAAUGCGUAUAAAUAUUGCGUUUGAUUAUCGAUAAUUUGUUAAAAUCCUUGCUGCAUGUUAGUAUUUCAAGAUAUCGAAUAUCGAACUUCGCGCGCUUUUCCCGCACUAUUUUCUUGCUAUAAUUAAUGUGAAGCUGCUAACGUCACUUUGGAGAUCACUGCAAGCACGAGACGGAUCGACUCUGAAUCUCGACUUUUAAUUGAGUGAGUGAAGGAACGACAAGGAUGAACAAAGAAAAAGAGCCAAGACGACAUUAAACGACGCUGGAGCCAGCAUGAGAUCAACUCUAUUAUACGCUGUACUACUGCAUACUACUCAGUGUAUUCCGUGUACUACCUGUGUACUACCUGUGUACUACUGUGUACUACUGUGUACUAUAUAACUCAGCCGUUGCUCAUCUAUUGUACUGAUUUCUCGGGAAGGAGAGGCAUACAUAGUGUUCAAUCUGCGGCAAGGGUCGGCACUACUCAUCUCGUGGAAUACGACACCGGACGGAAUACGUGCUCGCAUAUACAGGAAGCUCGCGACUGAUGACGGUUGGAUAAACGUGACGAGCGAUUUCAGAAGCCAUCAAUCAGGACCACCAUGACUCUCGACUUCCUCGGUGCCGAGGAGUCUCCAAUCUCUUCCUGAUCGCACUUGUCAAAUAGGCGGAGGAAAGGGGAAGGCAUCGAAAAGUUCACGACACAUUACAAG